rnacentral:lncRNA from 1 species
GAUCGGUUUUAUUCUAUUUUCCAGGUUUCUUUCAAAAAAAUUCUCAGCUGCUUGAAGACAAAAAUUAUAAAAGAUUUAUAAAAGAAAUGAUUCACACAAAUUUGAAGUGUGUAAGAAUCAAUUCAACCAUGGAAGGUAAAAUUUCAUGUGCCUAGAAUUCAGUUGCUGAUUGUAGUAUGUAAGAGUCCCAAAUCAGUCUUUAUGAUUUCCAGGUAGAACACACUAAGUAGUGGAGUCUCCUGGUCAUUCUAAGCUACAAGCGUAGAAUCGUAGAAUCUAACAUUCUUUAUUUAUUAUUUAUUAUUCAUUUAUUUAUUUCUAUGUGGUGCUGGAUGAUCAAACCCAGUGCCUCACAUAUAUGAGGCAGGUGUUGUACCACUGAGCUAUAGUCCCAGCCCAGAAUCUCACAUUCUUAUAUGGAUAUUUAAAGUUGUUCAUGUGAAGCUGGAUUUGGAAAAAGGAUAUAUUGUUACUGUAUUUCUUUAGACUGUUCUUCUUUCUGAGGUUUCUGCAAGGGUAGUGUUUUUCUCACAUGUCAAAAAAAUUGAUAAAAAUGAAGAUGAAUAUAUUAUUGUGAAUGUGAAUUUUUUAACCUUUAAAUAGGGUGUUUUAAAACAUUUUUAAAUUGACAAAAAUUGAGCAGAUAACGUUAAAAGAUUGUAUUUUAGGCCUACCUUGCACACACAGUGCCCAUUAUUAUUAUCCUAUUCCUAAGUAAGGACAUUUGUUACAACAAAUGAACCAAUAUUCAUAAUUUUCUUCCCUUUGGUACUAGGAAUUGAAAUCAGUUUUUCACACAGGCUAGGCAUAUCUCUAUCACUGAGCCAUUUCCCUAGCCCAACAUUCUUGAUUUUCCCAAUUUUUAACUCAUUCUUUUUCUAUACUAUAAUCCUGUGCAGUCCUCCACAUUCCAUUUGUUUGUCAUAUCUCUUUAGUUUCCUCUUUGCCUUGAUAUUUCUUCAGAUCUUUCUUGUUAGAUGACUCUGAAAAUUUAGGGGAAUACCAUUCUGUAUAUUAUUAGUUGUCUCUGUGUUAAAAUUUGAAGUUUUUCUUCUGAUUAUAGGUGGAUUAUUUGUUUUUGGGAGGAAGGUCACAGAUAUAAAAUGCUAUUCAUCACAUUAGUUCCAGGUAUAUAUUAUCAAAGUGAAUGUUGACUAUUGAUGCUGAACUUGAUCACCUGAGGUGGUGUUUGUCAUGUUUCUCAUUGUGAAGCUACUUUUCCCUCUCCUAUUCCCACACUAUACAGUUCAUAAGGAGGUUGCUACGUGCAGCUAAUGUUUUAUGAUGGAGGAGUCAUGCUCCCGUUUAUUAGGGUGGUGUAUUAUGUUAGCACUCUCCAGAAGAACAAAAGAAAUAUGAACAUGGAUAUUUAUUUUAAGAACUUGACUCAUGGAAAUGUGGGGGCUUGAUAAGUCCAAAAUUUGAUCUGGGUAACUUCCUGAAGACUCAGGAAGGAGUGGCAGAUGGAGGCCGAAGAAUGUCUGCUAAGCUUUUAAAAUGUUAUUAUAUUUUUCAGUGAUAAAAUUUCCAUUUUUUACAUCUUCUGUUUUUUGUUGAGUCUACUUUUUUGUUUUUUUCUUUUUUAAUUAAAUUAUUUAUUCAUCAUAGUUUGUUAUGCAUGAUGGCAGAAUGCAAUUCGUUUCAUAUUACACCAAGAGAGCACAAUUUUUCAAGUCACUGAUUGCAUAUAAAGUAUUGUCUCACCAUUCUUGUAUUUAGGGUAAUGAUGUCUAACUCAUUCCACCAUCAUUCGUACCCCUCUGCCCCUUUCCUUCCCCCCCCCUCCCUUUGUCCUAACUAAAGUUCCUUCAUUACUCCUAUGCUCUCCCCCUCCCACUCAUUGCCAGUAUGAGUCAGCAUUCCUUUGGUGGAAUGUGGUUUGUGUUGGGUACCAGAGGUUGAACUUUGGGCUGCCAAACCCCUGAGCCACAUUCCAUCUCCCCCCCUUCUUUUGUUUUAUUUUUUUAAAAUUUGACACAGGGCUUCUCUAAGUUACUUAGGGCUUUUCCUUUGUUUCAAGAUUGUUUGUAUCUUCUUGUUGAAGCAUUUUUUAUCAUUGUUGCUUUAAAAUCUUUGUCAGAUAAUUGUAACAUUUUUGUUUCUUCUUUUUUUUUUUUGCAGCUAUUGAUUAUAAUUUUUUUACUAAAAUUGAGAACGUCCUGGUCCUUGGUAUGAUUAUUUUGUUUUUGUUGAAACCUGGAUAUUUCUAUUUUGAGAUUUUGGGGUUUAGGUUUUAUUUAAACAUUAAUAUUUUAGCUGCUUUUUUUUGUUUGUUUGUUUUUUUGUUUUCCUGAUACCAGUUCAGCAGGUGAAGGGGUCUUGACACAUUAUUGCCUGCUUGAAGCAACUUGGCUCCUUGGCACCUGAGGAAAGAGGUCUCCUUGUUAUAUCUGAGUGAAUAUGGGAUCUGCAGCUUUCAUGCUGUUUCUCUUGGUAUGUAAAUUUAAUAAUAGAAGCAUUUAAAAAGCACUUUCAUAUAACACACAUACUUGCCCUUCUUGCCUACAAAGGAAAAGUCUGGAGCUGUUGCCCGCAGAAUUGGAAGUCAUUUAGUUCCAGUUGCUACUUUUUUUCUACUGAUGCAAAAUCUUGGAAGGAGAGACAGGAGAACUGCUCUAGAAUGGAGGCUCACCUGGUGGUGAUCAACAGCAAGGAAGACCAGGUACUUUCUAAGGCACAAUGGAGUCAUGAACCUGUCUGACUUUUGUACUUGUCUUUGCUAAGAAGGGAUAUUGAUGCUGUGGCAGAAGACUUUCCAGAAGAAAGACAGGAAAGGCUCCCUCAACCUUCCCAUUCCACACCUUGUAUCUUCUUCAGUGUAACUAACCUACCCCCAGGGAUAUUGUGGCAUUCAACACUUAAGACCUGGGGGUUUAGUGAAAGGAUGAAAAUAUUUCUGCCUAAAAUAGAAGUUGGUUAUUUCAAUAUAUAACUGUUUUCUGAAUGAUCAACUUCUUAACAGAAAGGAGAAUUAACUUCAAUGGGCAAAGUUAAAUCAAGAGACUCACAAUCAGCAAUCAGAAUGAAAUUUUAAGAAUUUAUGAAAUGCUGGUUGUUGUGGUACAUGCUUGUAAUCCCAUGGGCUUGGGAGGCUGAGGCAGGAGGAUCUCACGUUCAAAGCAAUCCUCCACAAUGUAGCUUGCUAGGCAAUUUAUCAAGACCCUGUCCCUAAUUGAAAUAUAGGGAAUUGUGCUUGGGGACUGGGGUUCUGGCUCAAUGGUAGAGUGCUCGAUUAGCAUGUGUGAGGCCCUGGGUUCAAUCCUGAGAACCAUAUAAAAAUAAAAUAAAGAUAUCAUGUCCAUCUAAAACUAAAAAAUAAAUAUUAAAAAAAAAGAAAUGGUAGGGAUGUGGCUCAUUGGUUAAGCACUCCUGGGUUCAAUUUUGGGUACCAAAAGGAAAGAAAAAAUCCAUGAUAUAAUGAAAGUAAAUUGAUUAAUUUCUUAAGAAUUUUCUCAUGUGCAACCUUGAAGAAUAUUUUCUCAGUGAAGAAAAGAGGGAAGUUGAAUUUGAGAUGAGAGUUCAUUAUGAUUGUAGGUAAGAAUUGCUUCCAUAUUUAAUAAAAUUAAGAUAAAAAUAAAAUCACAGAUUAUAUCUUUUAUCCUGUUGUGCUCAAAGAUCUACAGUUCUGAGGUCCCCUCUCCAUCUGGUCAUUCCUGAACCAUCUCCUUUUGUUUUCAUUUCUGUAUGACCAUAAAGAGUUCAGUUGAAAAAUCACACUGUACCUUUAAAUAAGUAUAAUUAUUAGUUGUUAGUAAAAUCUUUAAAAAUAUGUAAAGAAGAUGGAAAUGUGAACUCUACCAAUUUUAUCAUUAUACACUGUGUAUAUGUAUCAAAUUAUCAUGUUACCUGAUAGAUUUUACAAUUCAAACAAGAAAGAAGAAAUAAAUCACCAAAAUUCUUUAAAAAUAUUUUUAUUGGUGAAUUUUAUUUACACAUGCGAGUGGAGUUCAUUCUGUUUUAUUAACACCAGUAUCUAGCAUGAUUUGGCAAAUUAAAAAAAAAAAAACAACCUCAGUUCAAGCUGAGUAUCUAAAGUCUAUGACUUCUUUUCUUUUCCUUUUCUUUUAGGAUUUCCUGACUCAGAAUAUGGAUAAAAACGCUGCUUAUUUUAUGGGGCUAUCAGAUCCAGAGGGUCAAGGACACUGGCAAUGGGUUGAUCAGAUCCCAUACAACCAAAGUGCCACAUGAGUACAGAAUUAGAUAAAGGAAUCCUGGGUCCUGGGUCAUGCAGGAAGUUUAGAGUGUUCCAGCAUCAGUUCUGAAAUUUAAAAAGUUCACUCUUGUCCUAUUGCACACAUAGUUAAUCAAUUUUAUUACCUCAUUAAAUUAUCACAGAACCCUAGGAGGCACACAUUAUUUUUCCUAUUAUAGAACUGAGGAAAUUGAGUUUGGAGAGUAUAGAUAGUUCAGCUAAGGUCACCCAACAAUAUUCUUUAGAACCAGGUGGAUUCUACUUUGCUUUUAAAAACUCUAUUGAUUCUCUGUAAUAAAAAUUCAUGUUUUUAAAGAUCAUUAUGGAUUAUCAUGAUUUAAUAUUUCUCAUAAAGCAAAAAUUCUUUCUUUGAUACGAUUACAAUAUCUCAUAUUUAUG